AAAAAGCACUCCUGAGAACUGCCUGCACAGGGAGUGACCUAUGUCUUGAUUCUCUCUGUCUCCCAUCAGGUGAUGGGAUGGUGAGUGAGAAUGAGGAGCAGAAACCCCAGCAAGAAGAUGCUGAGAAAGGAGAACCACAUGGAACGUUAUCAGGAAGAUCCAAAGGGAAUGUUUCCAGAAGUUGUGCACUCCCAGAAAAA